ACCCGCUGAACUUAAGCAUAUCAAUAAGCGGAGGAAAAGAAACCAACAGGGAUUGCCUUAGUAACGGCGAGUGAAGCGGCAAAAGCUCAAAUUUGAAAUCGGCCACCAGGUCGAGUUGUAAUUUGUAGAUUGUAUCUUGAGAGCGGAUUAAAGUCUGUUGGAACACAGCGCCUUAGAGGGUGACAGCCCCGUAAAAUCUAUUCUCAUUGUAAGAUACUUUCGAAGAGUCGAGUUGUUUGGGAAUGCAGCUCUAAGUGGGAGGUAAAUUCCUUCUAAAGCUAAAUAUUGACGAGAGACCGAUAGCGAACAAGUACUGUGAAGGAAAGAUGAAAAGCACUUUGAAAAGAGAGUGAAAAAGUACGUGAAAUUGUUAAAAGGGAAGGGUAUUGAAUCAGACUUGGUGCUGUUGUUCAACUGUGUUUCGGCAUAGUGUACUCAGCAGUACUAGGCCAAGGUGGGGUGUUUGGGAGUGAAAAAGAAGUAGGAACGUAACUCUUCGGAGUGUUAUAGCCUACUUUCAUAGCUCCUCAGGCGCCUCAGGACUGCGCUUCGGCAAGGACCUUGGCAUAAUGAUUCUAUACCGCCCGUCUUGAAACACGGACCAAGGAG
rnacentral:rRNA from 1 species